UACGGAGGGUGCAAGCGUUAUCCGGAUUCACUGGGUUUAAAGGGUGCGUAGGCGGAUAUGUAAGUCCGUGGUGAAAUCUCUGGGCUUAACCCGGAAACUGCCAUGGAUACUAUGUGUCUUGAAUGUUGUUGAGGUGAGCGGAAUAUGUCAUGUAGCGGUGAAAUGCUUAGAUAUGACAUAGAACACCAAUUGCGAAGGCAGCUCACUAAAGCAAAUAUUGACGCUGAGGCACGAAAGCGUGGGGAUCAAACAGGA
rnacentral:rRNA from 1 species